GCAUCGGUGAUUCAGUGGUAGAAUGCUCGCCUGCAAGCCGGGCGGCCCGGGUUCGAUUCCCGGCCGAUGCA
rnacentral:tRNA from 1 species